rnacentral:hammerhead_ribozyme from 2 species
AUCCAGUUGAUGAGUCCCAAAUAGGAUGAAACGUGCGUCUUUUAU